AGACCUGAAAUUAGUCGAGAUUACCCGCUGAAUUUAAGCAUAUUAUUAAGCGGAGGAAAAGAGAAUAACAAUGAUUCCCCUAGUAACGGCGAGUGAAGCGUGAAGAGCUCAAAGUGAAAAUCGUGAGUCCUUUUUUGGCCUCACGAAUUGUAGCCUCUAGAGGCGUUGCCAGUGGGAGGGCAGGUCUAAGUUUCUUGGAACAGAACUUCAGAGAGGGUGACAGUCCCGUCCUUUGUCCUGCUCCUUUCUCCCCACGUACGGCGCGCUUUUAUUGAGUCGCGUUCAUUGGGAUUUGAGCGCAAAAUGUGUGAUAAGUUUCACAUAAAGCUAAAUACUGGCGUGAGACCGAUCGCGAACAAGUACUGUGAAGGAAAGAUGAAAAAGACUUUGGACAGGGAGUUAAAAGUGUCUGAAAUUGCUGAAAGGGAAGCGAUUGAAACUUUCGUUUCUCGAGGGUGCCGGUGGUUCUCAGUUGCAUUUUCUCUAAAUCUCCGCCUUAGGGUUUUAGAGUUUUGCUGUUACUGUUUGCCACUCUGAUCCCUGGGGUUUGGUCAGCACCAGUGGUCACCUGACUAUUCUCCCCAAGGAAGGUAGGUCCCUCGUGGGCUGUUAUAUCCUUGGGUUUGGUUCGUUCAGGCGUCUGCUGAGGUGUGUUUUCCGCGUUUGUCGGCUCCACUUUCGAGUACCGUCGUUCUCCUGUGCUGUCCCUAAUUGUUUCAACCGACUCGUCUUGAAACACGGACCAAGGAGUCUAACAUAUGUGCCAGUAUGCGGGUGGCAACCCUGUAUGCACAAUGAAAGUGAGAGUAGGGAGAGUUUUGCUUUUUGCUUUUCUCGCACCUACGACCGACCACGAACUCUGUGAGAGGUUUGAGUUGUAGCACAUCUGUUAGGACCCAAAAGAUGGUGAACUAUGCCGGAGUAGGGUGAAGUCAGGCGAAAGCCUGAUGGAGGCUCGUAGCGAUACUGACGUGCAAAUCGUUCGUCAAACUUGGGUAUAGGGGCGAAAGACUAAUCGAACCGUCUAGUAGCUGGUUUCUUCCGAAGUUUCUCUCAGGAUAGCUGGAGUUCUAUUAGUUUUAUCAGGUAAAGCGAAUGAUUAGAGGCCUCGGGGGAGCGUUUCCCUCGACCUAUUCUCAAACUUUAAAUGGGUAAGAUCCAGCGGUUACUUCAUUGAACUGCUGGGGUUAAUAUGAACUCCAGGUGGGCCAUUUUCGGUAAGCAGAACUGGCGAUGAGGGGUGCUCCUAACGCUUGCUUAAGGUGCCUAAAUACUCGCUCAUCAGACACCAUAAAAGGUGUUGGUUCAUUUUGACAGCAGGACGGUG
rnacentral:ncRNA from 1 species